rnacentral:rRNA from 1 species
UACGAAGGGGACUAGCGUUGUUCGGAUUUACUGGGCGUAAAGCGCGCGUAGGCGGAUCGCUAAGUCAGGGGUGAAAUGCCAAGGCUCAACCUUGGAACUGCCUUUGAUACUGACGAUCUGGAGAUUGGGAGAGGUGAGUGGAACUGCGAGUGUAGAGGUGAAAUUCGUAGAUAUUCGCAAGAACACCAGUGGCGAAGGCGGCUCACUGGCCCAUAACUGACGCUGAGGCACGAAAGCGUGGGGAGCAAACAGG